UACGGGGGGGGCAAGCGUUGUUCGGAAUUACUGGGCGUAAAGGGCUCGUAGGCGGCCAACUAAGUCAGACGUGAAAUCCCCAGGCUCAACCUGGGAACUGCGUCUGAUACUGGAUGGCUUGAGUUUGGGAGAGGGAUGCGGAAUUCCAGGUGUAGCGGUGAAAUGCGUAGAUAUCUGGAGGAACACCGGUGGCGAAGGCGGCAUCCUGGACCAAUACUGACGCUGAGGAGCGAAAGCCAGGGGAGCAAACGGG
rnacentral:rRNA from 1 species